CUUUUCACACUGUUUCCAUUCCUUGGCUUUUUAAUAGCAAACCUUCCACCGAGACCAUUUUUAUUGAGGCUUUGGCAAAUAGUAGAUGGAUCAACUGAAGGACCACAUACAUCUAAGGUCCUGUGUCCAGUCUUUGCUGACACAGGACCUGAGCUGGGUUCAGCUGCUGUUCAUCUGCUGCAGGUAGUUUUGUACGCCGGCUACUUCUUCUUUUGUUCUCAUCUUGUCCAGUUUCCCCAAAUUUUUCAAGGACACACUGAACACAGUGCUGACAUAUGCAAAAGCUCUUUGGGAAUCACCUUUUUUGUGCAAAAAUACAAAUAUUGUGCUCUUGCAACAAAGUUCCUAAAGAUAUCUAAAACUGGUUCUUUGCCAAGAUGUCUGUUUUGUGUAUACAGUGGUUCUCUGCUUCAUCCCUGGCCUUUCUGAUUCUUGAAUGUUUCAUAGGUCAGUGUUAAGUGGCUUAACAAGAAAAACAAUUCCUCUGAAAACAAAAAAUAAAAAUAAAAAUUAGUGUAAAAGCACAAAAAAAAUUCCUGGAUAAUGUGGGAGAAGUAUUGCUUAAGGCCACUUAAUAAAAUGACGAGAAAGUCUGGCUCCUUGGGAGCAAAAUAUAAAAAAAAUGAAGAGUGGCACAAGAUUUUGGAAAUAACUGUAGAUGUAAGCUAUUAUUUAAUAGUGUGGUUGUAUUGUUGUUACUCUAAGCAUCACCAAUGCACGUUGGUUAUACUGUUGGUCAUGCUUGCAUUUAGGUCUGUGUUUUUACAUGCAUAUUUACAUGCUUUUUUUAAACGUAUGCAAACAUUUUCAAAGCUUUAUGAAAAGUUACCUGACAGCGAAAACCAAAGCGAAAGAAUGAAGAGAAAACGUCUGCACCGCCGUGGCAGAAGGACAGACCUCAGAAGUAGCACUUCCAGAAGACUAUUAAAGUGACAACAAGUUCUCUGGGAUGAUGAUUACCUCACAAGAUAAAUGGUUUCAUUGUUUUUGGGAGCCAGGUUUCUUCUUAUGGGUGGCCUUGGAAUAAAAAAUAAACCCAUCCACCAUGUCCUAAUGUCAAAUGACUGCACUUUAAUCCUCUGUCAGGUCCUCACUUACUGGUUCUUAUGAUAUUAAAUCCAGAUUCAUGGCUGGUGGUUUCUCGCUUCCUCUGUAACCUUGACUCCAUCAUACCCCAUUCAUGACUCUAUAUUGCACAAAUUUACAUAAAUG
ensembl:lncRNA